UACGAAGGGGGCUAGCGUUGCUCGGAAUUACUGGGCGUAAAGCGCACGUAGGCGGAUUGCUAAGUCAGGGGUGAAAUCCUGGAGCUCAACUCCAGAACUGCCUUUGAUACUGGCGAUCUUGAGUCCGGGAGAGGUGAGUGGAACUGCGAGUGUAGAGGUGAAAUUCGUAGAUAUUCGCAAGAACACCAGUGGCGAAGGCGGCUCACUGGCCCGAUACUGACGCUGAGGCACGAAAGCGUGGGGAGCAAACAGG
rnacentral:rRNA from 1 species